rnacentral:rRNA from 1 species
UACAGAGGUCUCAAGCGUUGUUCGGAAUUACUGGGCGUAAAGCGUGUGUAGGCGGCCGCGUAAGUCGGAUGUGAAAGCCCUGGGCUCAACCCAGGAAGUGCACUCGAUACUGCGUGGCUCGAGUACUGGAGAGGUUGGUGGAAUUCUCGGUGUAGAGGUGAAAUUCGUAGAUAUCGAGAGGAACACCGGUGGCGAAGGCGGCCAACUGGACAGAUACUGACGCUGAGACACGAAAGCGUGGGGAGCAAACAGG